rnacentral:rRNA from 1 species
GUUAGGAAUAUUGGACAAUGGGCGCAAGCCUGAUCCAGCCAUGCCGCGUGAACGAUGAAGGCCUUCGGGUUGUAAAGUUCUUUAGCCGAUGAUUAUAAUGACUGUAGUCGGAAAAUAAGCCCCGGCUAACUUCGUGCCAGCAGCCGCGGUAAUACGAAGGGGGCGAGCGUUAUUCGGAAUCACUGGGCGUAAAGCGUGCGUAGGCGGUCUCGUAAGUUAGGAGUGAAAGCCCAGGCCUCAACCUUGGAAUUGCUCUUAAAACUGCAAGGCUAGAAUCUCGGAGAGGAUAGCGGAAUUUCCAGUGUAGCAGUGAAAUGCGUAGAUAUUGGAAGGAACACCAGUGGCGUAAGCGGCUAUCUGGACGAGUAUUGACGCUGAGGCACGAAAGCGUGGGGAUCAAACAGGAUUAGAUACCCCGGUAGUCC